rnacentral:rRNA from 1 species
GACGAACGCUGGCGGCGUGCCUAAUACAUGCAAGUCGAGCGAGACUCUUCGGAGUCUAGCGGCGGACGGGUGAGUAACACGUGGGCAACCUGCCUGUAAGACUGGGAUAACACCGGGAAACCGGUGCUAAUACCGGAUAAUCCUUUUCCUCUCAUGAGGAAAAGCUGAAAGUCGGUUUCGGCUGACACUACAGAUGGGCCCGCGGCGCAUUAGCUAGUUGGUGAGGUAACGGCUCACCAAGGCGACGAUGCGUAGCCGACCUGAGAGGGUGAUCGGCCACACUGGGACUGAGACACGGCCCAGACUCCUACGGGAGGCAGCAGUAGGGAAUCUUCCACAAUGGACGAAAGUCUGAUGGAGCAACGCCGCGUGAGCGAUGAAGGCCUUCGGGUCGUAAAGCUCUGUUGUUAGGGAAGAGCAAGUACCGGAGUAACUGCCGGUACCUUGACGGUACCUGACCAGAAAGCCACGGCUAACUACGUGCCAGCCGCCGCAGUAAAAC